rnacentral:rRNA from 1 species
ACAAUACACGGUAUAUGUAUACGUUCCAUCCUCAUUUUUCACAGUAGAAUCUCCAUUGGGCGGUUCACUUUUUCUUGCCCUGUGACACAAAUUUGCAUAUACUUAUUUUAUCAAAUAACAUCAGGAGAAACCCAUGAUCUAUUUAAAAAAUCCCCUGUGCCUUGGCAUGGAAGAAUCAGAAUAUAAAGAAAUGCUCGCUCUGGGCGGUAUGCGCCAGAAACAUUUUGAAAAAAAUGAAGUGAUUUUGUCUGCCGGAUGCACCACGCACGUACAUAAAUUUUAUCGUGUCCGGCACCCCCUGAUUGCAUACAAAAACUUAUUCAAAAACUACUCUGUGUAUACCUGACAGUAACAAUCACAACCAUCUUCUUUGCUUCAUCAAUACGAUAAACAAUUGUAAAAUUCUUUACAAAAAUUUGGCGGUAUCCCCGAUUAGCAAAAGCCCCUGUCCUUCUGAUACCCCCACGGUAAGGAAUUUCAUCCAGACUUAAAAUUGCAUCUUCUAAAGCAUCUGCCAUCUUCUCAGCGGUACCUAUCUCCUUGAAAUCAUCUACUAUAUGAUUAUAAAUAUUAUCAAGGUCAUCUGAUACACGCUGCAGCAUUUUUAUUGUAUAUUUAACCAAAAUGCUUCCUCCUAAGUGAUAGGCGAAGCGAGAGCGAGUCUGAAUAGGGCGACACAGUUGCAUGCAAUAGACCCGAAACCAGGUGACCUAUCCAUGGGCAGGUUGAAGUGGGGGUAAAACCCCAUGGAGGACCGAACCGACCCCCGUUGCAAUGGUGGCGGAUGACCUGUGGAUAGCGGAGAAAUUCUAAUCGAACUUGGAGAUAGCUGGUUCUCCCCGAAAUAGCUUUAGGGCUAGCGUUGAUUUAGAUUACCGGAGGUAAAGCACUGAAUGGGCUAGGGGCUGAUAAAGUUACUGAACCCUAUCAAACUAAGAAUGCCGGCAAAUUGAUGAUCAGCAGUCAGACUACGUGAGAUAAGUCUCGUGGUCAAAAGGGAAACAGCCCAGACCCACAGCUAAGGUCCCAAAUAUACGCUAAGUGGAAAACGAUGUGGAAUUGCGAAAACAACCAGGAUGUUGGCUUAGAAGCAGCCACUCAUUAAAAGAGUGCGUAAUAGCUCACUGGUCGAGUGGUUCUGCGCGGAAAAUGUAACGGGGCUAAGCGUAUAACCGAAGCUUGGGAUGCAGCAAUGCAUGGUAGGGGAGCGUCGAAUACGGGGUGAAGUCGCAGCGGAAGCAGCGGUGGACUGUAUUCGAGUGAGAAUGCCGGAAUGAGUAGCGAGAAUUAUGUGGGAAUCAUAAUGGCCGAAAAUCUAAGGUUUCUUGGGGAAGGUUCGUCCGCCCAAGGUAAGCCGGGAGCUAAGGCGAGGCCGAAAGGCGUAGUCGAUGCACAUACGGUUGAAAUUCCGUAGCCACCGAAACUUAAACCAGAAGGACACUUGGAGCUAUCCGAACCCGGGCGUUGGUUGACCCGGGCGUAAGGGACCGAAAUUAAGUAGGGAAGUCGGAGAAUGACGAGGCGAGAAAAGUUCUGGUGUAUGCUAAGGUGCCCGUACCGCAAACCGACACAGGUAGAUGAGGAGAGAAUCCUAAGGCCAACGGGAGAAGGGUUGUUAAGGAACUCGGCAAAUUGACCCCGUAACUUCGGAAGAAGGGGAGCCCCGAAAGGGGCCGCAGUGAAUAGGCCCAAGCAACUGUUUACCAAAAACACAGGUUUAUGCUAAAUCGAAAGAUGACGUAUAUGAGCUGACGCCUGCCCGGUGCCGGAAGGUUAAGAGGAGAUGUCAACCGCGAGGUGAAGCAUUGAAUUGAAGCCCCGGUAAACGGCGGCCGUAACUAUAACGGUCCUAAGGUAGCGAAAUUCCUUGUCAGGUAAGUUCUGACCCGCACGAAAGGCGUAAUGAUUUGGGCACUGUCUCAACAGCCCGCCCGGCGAAAUUGUAGUACUGGUGAAGAUGCCAGUUACCCGCAACUAGACGGAAAGACCCCAUGGAGCUUUACUGCAGCUUAAUACUGGAAUUCGGUAAAUCAUGUACAGGAUAGGUGGGAGACUGGGAAGCAUUGGCGUCAGCCAGUGUGGAGUCGCUGGUGGGAUACCACUCUUGAUUUGCUGGGUUUCUAACCUGCGGCCGUGAAUCCGGUCGGGGGACACUGUUAGGCGGGCAGUUUGACUGGGGCGGUCGCCUCCAAAAGAGUAACGGAGGCGCUCAAAGGUUGGCUCAGCACGGACGGAAAUCGUGCAAUGAGUGUAAACGUAUAAGCCAGCCUAACUGCGAGACCGACGGGUCGAGCAGUAACGAAAGUUGGAGUUAGUGAUCCGGUGGUAUGUGAGUGGAAAUGCCAUCGCUCAACGGAUAAAAGUUACCCUGGGGAUAACAGGCUGAUCUCCCCCAAGAGUCCACAUCGACGGGGAGGUUUGGCACCUCGAUGUCGGCUCAUCACAUCCUGGGGCUGUAUUCGGUCCCAAGGGUUCGGCUGUUCGCCGAUUAAAGUGGUACGCGAGCUGGGUUCAGAACGUCGUGAGACAGUUCGGUCCCUAUCUGUCGUGGGCGCAGGAUAUUUGAGGAGUGCUGUCCUUAGUACGAGAGGACCGGGAUGGACGCACCGCUGGUGCACCAGUUGUCAUGCCAAUGGCACGGCUGGGCAGCUACGUGCGGAUCGGAUAAACGCUGAAAGCAUCUAAGCGUGAAGCCGGCUCCAAGAUAAGAUAUCCCAUAACGAAAGUUAGUAAGACCCCUUGA